AGUGAGGUGACUGAGCAAUAGGUGAUAGAUUGUAAAUCUAUUUAUGGAUAUUAAUUAUCCUCUUACUA
rnacentral:tRNA from 1 species